UACGUAGGGACCAAGCGUUGUCCGGAAUCAUUGGGCGUAAAGGGUGCGUAGGCGGCGCGGUAAGUCGGGUGUGAAAUCUUGGAGCUUAACUCCGAAACUGCAUUCGAUACUGCCGUGCUUGAGGACUGGAGAGGAGACUGGAAUUUACGGUGUAGCGGUGAAAUGCGUAGAUAUCGUAAGGAAGACCAGUGGCGAAGGCGGGUCUCUGGACAGUUCCUGACGCUGAGGCACGAAGGCCAGGGGAGCAAACGGG
rnacentral:rRNA from 1 species